rnacentral:piRNA from 1 species
UGACUCUGGGCACUUGACUGCACAAUGU